GAUGAACGCUGGCGGCGUGCCUAAUACAUGCAAGUCGAGCGAACAGACGAGGAGCUUGCUCCUCUGACGUUAGCGGCGGACGGGUGAGUAACACGUGGAUAACCUACCUAUAAGACUGGGAUAACUUCGGGAAACCGGAGCUAAUACCGGAUAAUAUAUUGAACCGCAUGGUUCAAUAGUGAAAGACGGUUUUGCUGUCACUUAUAGAUGGAUCCGCGCCGCAUUAGCUAGUUGGUAAGGUAACGGCUUACCAAGGCAACGAUGCGUAGCCGACCGGAGAGGGGGAAGGGACCCGCUGGAACUGUGACACGGUGCAGACUCCCACGAGAGGCAGCAGUAGGGAAUCUUCCGCAAUGGGCAGAAGCCUGACGCAGCAAGACCGCGUAAGUGAUGAAGGUCUUCGAAUCGUAAACCUCUGUUAUUAGGGAAGAACAAAUGUGUAAGUAACUAUGCACGCCUUGACGGUACCUAAUCAGAAAGCCACGGCUAACUACGUG
rnacentral:rRNA from 1 species